rnacentral:rRNA from 1 species
GUGAACGCUGGCGGCGUGCUUAAGACAUGCAAGUCGUACGAGAAAGUCCGCAAGGAUAAGUAAAGUGGCGUCCGGGUGAGUAAUACUUAGAUAACGUACCUUAUCGCUGAGAAUAACUAGGCGAAAGCUUAGCUAAUACUGAAUAAUCCGCGGAAAACUGAGGUUUUCUUCGGUAAAGCCGCAAGGCGCGAUAAGAGCGAUUUAAGUCCUAUCAGCUAGUUGGUGAGGUAACGGCUCACCAAGGCUAUGACGGGUAGCUGGUCUGAGAGGACGACCAGCCACACUGGAACUGAAACACGGUCCAGACUCCUACGGGAGGCAGCAGUUAGGAAUUUUGCGCAAUGGACGAAAGUCUGACGCAGCAACGCCGCGUGAGUGAUGAAGGCCUUCGGGUCGUAAAGCUCUUUUAGUUGGAACGAAACUAAUGACGGUACCAGCAGAAAAAGCACCGGCUAACCCUGU